UAUUUAGGCCUCUGCCAAGCAGAGAUCAGGGUGGAAAAUACACAGGAUCCCCGGCGCCAAGUCCCUUGCUCUCGGAAAAUCCGCCCCAGAAGCGUCCAAGCAAAGGGCCUGGAUUUAAUCACCCACCGUGGCAUUUGUCCUCAGUCUGAAGAAAGAAAGCUACAAUCAAUCUACAUCAAUGUGACUCUCAAUCCCUCCACCAGCAAUCGUAUUAAAAAGACACGUUCUCUAUUGUCAUCUUCUCUCACACCCUGCCCACAGGCAAAGUCCUAUCUGCUUCAAAUCAUCCACCUUCAGUCUUCUGCCCAGAAAAGACAAGGUUGCCUGCCUCCCUGACUACAAGCCAGAGACAAUGACCUCAGUCCUAAUGAAGACCAGCAAGUGCCUGGUUUUGUCCUUCACCAAAUGUGUCACACACCCAUCAUUAUUUCAUUCCUUUCACUUUGCCUGCAUGAGAAUCGAAAUGGAUCUGAACUGCAUCUGGGACCUGGAAUACCUGCAUACACCUGGGUAUUUUGCUAGGAUGAUGGUUAUUGCUCUGUGUUCACUGCUAAAAUUCCCAGAUAAAUGCAUGGAUGGCAGAGCUGUAUCUAGGAAAGGUCUGGUAUAAGUUAUCUGCUCAAAAGUUAACACAUUUAAUGAAUUCAUAACACAAUUCAUUAUUUUAGGCCUACAGAGACAUUAUUUAAUACCUGGAUUUCAUCAUGUGCAGGAGGUUGAGACCUUAAGUCAGGAUGAUGACCAGCAGUUGACUCCAUUUUAUCUUCUUGCCUUUUCAGGUUACAUACACGGCUACUGUUUGGUGGCAUUAGCAUCUCACCACCCAUGCCAGUAGCCACAUAAAAGUUCACUACAAAGCUAACGCCAUAAAGCUAGAGCAGUAUUGGUUGAGAGAGAGAGACACCCAGCUACAAUUCCAAAAAUAGCUUGUUAUCCUUUUGGAGGCAAUAGCAAUUGACAAGCUACAGGUUUGUAUCACCGACUGGAGCAGGAAAAACUCUGAGCUACGGUAUAUCAACUGCUAGCUCAAUUGUAGUACGGAGCAGGGAUCUCUUAGCAAAGCUGGUCAGUAACAAAGUGAGAGAUAUAUACAGCCUAAUGGGUUGCAAAUGCUAAUCCGCCGGAGAGAAAAAUGGCAACUUACCUUUAUAGUCUGUGCUUUGUAGCUGAAGCUACCUAGCAUUAUACAGGCAAGACUGGAAAGAUGAACACCGGUUAUGCAGCCUCUGAAGGACGAAAAAUAGCCCCAACCGAUUGGUAAAGAGGCUCAUGGCAUAGGUGGUGAAACGCUAACGCUAGCUAAUGCUAUAACCUGCGCAAAAGGAAAAGGAGACAACUGCUGGGUGUCAGGCUCUUUUAUCUAAUCGCUUACAUCGUCCAGUUAACACGUGUGAUUAUUACGAAGGUUUCGACUUCUCGCACAUGUGCGUGAUGGAAAUCCGAGAAAAACAUACCAUCUCUGGCAGUCAGGAGGAAAUCACAGAAUUGCAGUUACAUUCAUAACUCUUGUUGACCAUGAAACAGCUUUCACCUCGACCCCACUCACACUGAGCUCCUUCCACAUCUGUACAUACAACUGCAAUGUCCACUGACUGACCACUGUUGCGUGAUGCUGUGUUUUAAAAUGUUGAAUGUCGACAUGGAUGUAGGCAGCAUUUGUAUGUUUACAUUUGUGUUUCUGAAUCAAGGAAACCUUCCAUUCUAUAAUUUAAAGAAACACUCAAACUUUUGGGAACAUAAUUGUCUGAACGAUCAAAUGAUCUGAAUACAAUCUAUCAAGGUUCUUGCCCCGUCAGAUUCAGACUUCGUUUUAGCGAUGUUGCCGCCAAACCAACAAAAAUAAGAUCAUGGCUGUAAUAAACCAGUCUCUGACACUGCACAUCUAGUUACCUCUUCCAGAGAUGAUGCUGAUUUGUUGAGACCAAGAUCACCUGCCAGGAGCUGUCACCUGUCUCUGUAUUACUGCGCAGGUUUGCUGGUGUACUUGCACAGCUCAUAGAAACAUUUGCUCUCUCUUCCACAUUAGCCUCAGAAAACAUGUCUACAAGCCAUAAUAAUCAGAUCUCAUUUUUCUUUUUAUACUCAGUA